rnacentral:rRNA from 1 species
UACAGAGGUCUCAAGCGUUGUUCGGAUUCAUUGGGCGUAAAGGGUGCGUAGGUGGCGCUGUAAGUCGGGUGUGAAAUUUCGGAGCUUAACUCCGAAACUGCAUUCGAUACUGCGGUGCUUGAGGACUGGAGAGGAGACUGGAAUUCACGGUGUAGCGGUGAAAUGCGUAGAUAUCGUAAGGAAGACCAGUGGCGAAGGCGGGUCUCUGGACAGUUCCUGACGCUGAGGCACGAAGGCCAGGGGAGCAAACGGGG